ensembl:lncRNA ZFHX4-AS1 ZFHX4 antisense RNA 1
AGUGUCAAUCCACCAUCUUCUGCCAGUGAACUUGUCUUUGGGUUUUUGUUUGGUGUGUGUGUGGGGGGGGAUGUUGUUGUGUGUGUGUGUAUGUGUGUGUGUGCUUUUUUUGGAAGGGGGGAGGGGAAAGACAAAGUGGGGGCCGGAGGUGGGGGGAAGAGUAGGGAGAAUGUGUGUCUGUGAGUGUGUGUUGAGUGUGAGUGUGUCUCUGUGUGUGUAGGGGUCGAGGUGGGGGGGGUCCGUGUUUGCGAUCUGAACCUUUGGUACCUACAAGGAGGGUGUCUCACCGAACGGUAGCUAAAACCUCACCAGAACCGCGCGGAAGUGAGAAGUCGCGGCCAAAGGCGCCCGCAGAAGCCUCCUCUCUGGGCCGGACCCCAGCCCGAGCGGCCGAAAGGAGCCCCCCGCCCGGAUCACAGCUGCUGCAGCUGCCGCUGAAAUUCGCUGUGGCCGCUGCCUCUUCCCGCUUUAAUCCCAGACCUCCAGUCAUUGGGCAGCUCCUCAGAGGCAAGAAGUCAACACCAUGGCAACCCGACAAGCCUAUCAAAUCACCGGCUGGCGUGACAGCAGCAACACUGCAGGCAGGAGUGGGCUGGGCGGAAGAGCAGAGUGGCCACUGCGCUCAGAAGUUUACAAGGAAAGGGGAAAUGUCUGAAAUGGAGAUUGCACAAUCCUGUCUUGAAGCAGAAGACUCAGCUAGAGCACAUCUGGAAACACCUGGCACUCCUCAAUAGAAUUCAAAUGCUAUUUUAAAAGAGUCCAUUUCUAAGAAGAUGUGGUUCGAACAUACAGAGCUACAUAAUAUGAGUAAAAUAGGACCUAACAGUAGUGUUCUCCAGCAUUGCUCUGCCUUUCCUUUUCUGGAUGUAACAACAUUACUAAGAAAGGAAGAAAAAGCAAAAAUCUGCUCUCGGGGAGAUUCCAGAAUGUUGGAAAGCCCCAAAUGGAAGUCUCUGCUUUGGUUACAGGACAUAAGGUUUAAUAAAUAAAAAGAUGCUCAUCUGGGAUGCUGCACCAAUUAUCAUGUACUAAAUAAGGUUACCUACUUCACUCUCCAGGUAGAAAUGUCUAUCAUAAGCAUGUGCCACAGAAGGUCUCUCAAGUAUCAUUAUUGGCUGUGUUGAAUUUUGUUUUUAGUUCUCUUUUAUAAGGUCUGUAGUCUUACUUUCAGUGAGGAAGUGUUUUCUCAGGUUCUCAAGAAAGUAACAAAAUGCCAGCAUUGUCAAGGUCACCAUUGCCACUGAAUUAUCUUACUGUCUGAUUAUUCCAUCUUCCUCUGCAUCAUAUUAGCCUGAUGACUACAUUCUAAUUAUUUAAAGCGUUAUGUAAAUCAAAGCAGUAAAUGUAAUUUCUAGUCUUACUAGAUAUCAUGUACAUUAGGUCGAAUAACUCUAGAAAUGUCGUCAUAAUCAUGUCAUGCCUAAUGAUGACCUACUCAGCCCCUGCCAACAUCAUUCAAUUACUCAUUUCAGUAUUGAUUUUUCUCAUGCCUCUCUUCGUGGCAUUUAAACAGCCCUCACAUCUCCCCUUUUACUGAGGUGUAAUGUUGUAUAAUGACAGAGAUGCUUUGCUUCCCAGAUUCAUAAUGUUACACUCUGUUUCAAAUCCUUUUGGAGACAAAUUGGGGAAUCAAUAUAUAAAUAAUGACACACUUAUUUUUAAUUAAAAUCACUGCUUUCACAGAAAUGGUAUAUUAAAAUUAUUUUUGCUAAAAAAAUUUUAAAUACCUAUGUACGAUAAAAAGACUGCCAAUCCUUGGGAUCAAGAAUAUAAUUUGCCCCAAAUAACUUUUCUGUAAAAGUAGAAUUCUUAAUGGAAAAUAGAUUAAUACAUAUAAUUUCAAGAUCUAACCUUAAAAAUGGAAAUAAUGUGUCCAUUUUUAAAAAUAAAUCAUAUUUACAUACACUGUGUUUAUGAGAGUUGUUUUGGAAUGAAACUUCUUUGCAUUUGAGAUCAAAUUCUUUUAUUCACAAGAAUUACAUUAUCUUUUUCAGCUGAAUGUUAUGUUAUACUCUUCCAAAAUCUAUUUUCCCUGCACUCAAGUAGCGGUAAAUAUUCUUUUUUUUUUCUGGAAAUUGAUAGUCUAAUUUUCUCCUGCCUCUCUUUGGCACACCCUCAUUUUGCAUGAGAUAUGCUCCUUAAUAAAAUUUCUACUCAAUAUUACAGAAACUUCCAGAAAUGGCAUCUAAAAUAUUACACUGGCCCGUUUAACUUCACCUUCACUAAUUGCAAUACAUUAUACAAAGAGCACUGUGGACAAAGGUGGAAUAUUUAACUAACUGGAUUUGGUUUCACAAACAGUAAUAAGACUUUUAAAAACAUUAUUAGAGCAUUUAUUUCAUCUCCUUUGCAAUAUAUUUUUCUUCCUUUUAAACUAGGCUUUCUAAAUUCUCAUUUUUAAUGUUUCAGUUGAAAGAACUUUCACAAGCCUUUAAAAGACAUUAUGAUUUGAAUUAUUCUUGCCUAGAAAAUUACUUCUGAUGUUUAACUUACAUUCUCCUUUAUUCAAUUGUAGCUUCAAACUAUCUUAGAAAAUUAAUUUGUCUUAUAAUUUUCCCCUUAAAUCAUUGUAGGUAAUCUCAAUAUUUUAUCUUUCCAAGCACACAUAGUACUAUUUAAAUUUCCAGAAAAUCUGAAGAUAACUAAGAUUUCCUUUAACUUUUCAUGUUUGAUGAAAUGAUGCAGAUAUUCUCAUUUAAGUAGUGAACCCUAAUCUCAUAAAAAAAGUAAGAAUAUCCCAUAGGAACUUUAAAUUGUUGUACAUUUUUCCUGUUCAUGUAAUAUAUUUUCAUUUGGUUUCUAAAACUCAUUUCAAACACUCCCAUCAACACACUCCAAUCAAAAACUUGUUUCAAACACACUCAAUCAACAAAAUGGAGGUGUUGCUUUUCUUCUCUAAGCUUGAUGCCAAGAUUCUAACCUGGACAUUUUCCUUCAAGUUUCCUUUUUCCUCAGCCACAUCACACAUUUAAUCUAACACUAGUCCAAAAUGUAAUCUGAAUUCAUCCACAUAUUUUUAUCUCUACUGCCACCACCCUUGUGCAGGCCACCAUUAUUUCUUGCCUGAGCUUUCAUCAUUGUCUUUUAUCAGGUCUCUCUGCUUCCAUUCUCAAACCCUUUCUAAUUUAUUUUUCACAAAGCAGCCAGAAUGAUCUUUUAAACACAUAAGUCACAUCAUGUCACUACCCACAUUAAAUCUUCCUAAGAUUUUCCCAUUCUACCCAGAAUACAGUGUAAAUUGCUAAGUUUAGUAGCUCAUGCCUGUCUUUCCAACCUGAUGUGAUAUCACACCCACAUUCUCCCUGGCCAUCCCCACCAACAUUACCCAGUACUAGGCUCCAACCACAAUGCUUUCCUCUCAUCUGUGAGCAAGCUAAACCCUUUUGACAUCAGGGUCUUUUAACUUUCUGUUCCUUAUACCUAAUUCUCUUCUCCACAUUCUUUGCAUGGCUUCCCCUUUCCCUUCUCUGAGUCUCAGCUUAAACGAAACUUAUUCAGAGAGUCUUGCCCUAACCACCAUAACAAAAGUUGGACUCUCCCUUAAUAUAUCAUCUAUAUUUUAUUAUAGCACCUCUCACAAUAUAUAAUUGCUUGCAUAAUUUAAUAAUUUUUUAUUUUUUUCUUGCUUCUGGCAGAAUAUAAGCUCCAGUGCCAUAAACAGCCAUUUCUCCAGAGAACCCAGAUUCCUUUUAGUGGGAAAUGGUAUUUAGAAAUCAAGUUCUGGAUGUCAGGUGUGCACAUGGCUAGGGAGG